rnacentral:misc_RNA from 1 species
GGCGAAUUUAAGCUGUCCCCAACUGGCGACAUUUCUCUCCCAUCUACGACAAAUCUAACUGUUCUUCCCUACGUUUUUCAUUUCAUUAUUAUUGAAGAACCUUUCGAAUCAUUUAGAUCUGACUUGAUCGAAGUUUCUAGAUCCAUUUCGGUGUUGCAGCCAUGCCUGUGGCAGCUUCAGCUGUUUACUUCCUCAAUCUCCGUGGCGAUGUCCUCAUCAAUCGUCUAUACCGUGACGACGUCGGGGGUAAUAUGGUAGAUGCCUUUCGGAUGCAUAUAAUGCAGACAAAAGAACUCGGGACAUGUCCU